rnacentral:rRNA from 1 species
GACGAACGCUGGCGGCGUGCUUAACACAUGCAAGUCGAACGGAAAGGCCUCUUUCGGGGGGUACUCGAGUGGCGAACGGGUGAGUAACACGUGAGUAACCUGCCCUUGACUUUGGGAUAACUUCAGGAAACUGGGGCUAAUACCGGAUAGGAGCUCCUGCUGCAUGGUGGGGGUUGGAAAGUUUCGGCGGUUGGGGAUGGACUCGCGGCUUAUCAGCUUGUUGGUGGGGUAGUGGCUUACCAAGGCUUUGGCGGGUAGCCGGCCUGAGAGGGUGACCGGCCACAUUGGGACUGAGAUACGGCCCAGACUCCUACGGGAGGCAGCAGUGGGGAAUAUUGCACAAUGGGUGGAAGCCUGAUGCAGCAACGCCGUGUGCGGGAUGACGGCCUUCGGGUUGUAAACCGCUUUCGCUCAUGACGAAGCUUUGUGUGACGGUAGUGGGUAAAGAAGCACCGGCUAACUACGUG